GAUUUGUGGCAUUUAGGUGUGUGUCCCGGUGCGGUAACGCAUCUGUGUGACUACCGACUGGUGCCUUACUUCUAGUUGCUGCAGUCGGUGCUUUACUGCAUCGUGCUGUGUUAUGCACUAGAUCGUUUACUUUGAACAAAUUGGAGUGUUUCAAGCAGGCUGUGCAGGCUAUGAACAUUAGAGCAUGGAAUAAUAAUCUAGGACUUCGGUCCUAUUUUGUUGGUUUCUAGGACUGAAGUAAUGAUUGAUAGGGAUAGUUGGGGGUGCUAGUAUUCAGCGGCCAGAGGUGAAAUUCUUGGAUUCGCUGAAGACUAACUUAUGCGAAAGCAUU
rnacentral:rRNA from 1 species